CACAACUGGAAAAAGAAGAAAUGAGCACAGAUUCAGUUUUAAAUGGACCCCUUUCCCUCCCAGUAAGGAGAGACAGUGAGAAGUGAGAGACAUCACCAAGAGUAGAGAGCAGGGGCCACACGGGUAAAUCAACAUGCAUGCACGCAUGUGGAUCACCCCUGUGCAUACAAACCCACAAGCACAGUCUGAGCCCCUGCACAGGGUGAGGCUCCAUGCCAGCUGCUAUUAGGACCCCAACAUGCCAUUUUCUCCUGUGGCCUAGAGAAUCCCAGCCCAGAGACAGACACACACAGAACUGAGUCCAGUCCCCUGUGACAACAGACACACAUGUGCACACACUGAGUACACAGGCAAACAGGCAUAGCACUUCUUUCCAGGAAUAAGACUCCUUUCCUUGGUCACAAACACUUAUGCCAGCUCUUGAUGGAACAAGGAUGGGGAGAGACUAUCUCACACAUGUUGCAGGUGGAGAAACUGAAUUUCAGUUGGAAAAAGUGAUUUGCUCAAGAAAUCCUUUAAUACAGCUAUCAAUAAAAGUCUACUGCGAGUCAGAGAAAACUGGUCUAAAUACUAAGAACAAUGGACCACUUGGUAAACACCCUCCAAAGAGACUAUAUUAUCUCAUGAAACGGCAUGAAUGUUGGUAUAAACUUUUUUUUUUGAGACAGAGUCUCACUUUGUCACCCAGGCUGGAGUGCGGUGGCACGAUCUUGGCUCACUGCCACGUCCGCCUCCUUGGGUCAAGUGAUUCUUCUGCCUCAGCCUCCCAAGUAGCUGGGAUUACAGGCACUCGCCACCAUGCUUAGCUAAUUUUUGUAUUUUCAGUAGAGACAACGUUUUGCCAUGUUGGCCAGGCUGGUCUUGAACUCCUGACUUCAGCUGAUCCAUCCACCUCGGCCUCCCAAAGUGCUGGGAUUACAGGCAUGAGCCACUGUGCCUGGCAAGUAUAAGCUUUAAGGAGAACACCAAUCUCCUAUAAAUAAUCAUGCCAGUGCUGUUUAGUGGGCAGGACUGCCAUGAUUAUUUAGUGAGCAUCUACUAUGUGCCAGGCAUGGGGAUGGGCAUUUCUCAGCCAUGAUUCUAAUGAAUUCUCACCACAACCCCUCAGGUGGGUAUUAUCAUCUUUCUUCUUAAAAUAUGAGCAGUGGGGCUCAGAGGGUUAUAUAACUUGAUCACCAUCACACAUCUGGAAAGCAGAUGAUGGGAAGGGUUACAUCUGGUGACACUCAAGGCAUCUGUCUAUUCUAGAAACCUAUGAUUUGAGGAGGAAGAAGAGAUGGGGAGAAAAGAAGGAGAAGGAUAGAGGAGGAAUGGAGAACAAAUGAGAAAGAUGGGCUAUCUCAAGAGCUGGCCACAUGGGAUAUGUGCUCAAAGGAAAGAAGGGGGAAAGGGCACCGAAGGUGUUGAGAUUGGCUUGAAGAAAGGAGGCUGAGGAAAGGGAUUUGAAGUCAGCAGACCUGGGUUCUAGUAUCAAGACACUAACUUGCUCUGCGACUGUCAGCAAAUCUUUUAGCCUCUUUCAGCUUUAUGUUCCUCCUCUUCCACAUGUUAAGACUUUAAUAAAGAAGUCAUGUCUCCCCCCUUGGAUUGUGGUAGGGAGAAGACUGUGUUUUCAAGCUAUAA